rnacentral:tRNA from 2 species
AUAAAGUAAGCUAAACUAAAGCUAGUGGGUUCAUACCCCAAAAAUGAAUUAAUUUCCUUUAUU